UAAAUUUAUUUCUUACUUUUUAUUUUAAUUUUAUAUAAUUAGAGAAAUAUCUUUAUUUUUAGUAUACUAAAGAAUAAAAGUUUUUUGUGAUAGUUUAUUAGUACUGUGUAGGAACUGAUGAAAUAUAUUGAAAAUGUAAUUUUUUGAAAGUAGUUUUUGUUUGGUGUACCUUUUGUAUCAGGGUUAAUUAAUUAGAAUUAAUAUAAUGUCUCGAUUUCAGAAGAGCUAAAUUUAUAAUUUCUUUAAUGUUUUAUAAUUAUGGAAAAUUUAUUUUUAGGGGAGAAAUUCUAUUCGAUUUUAAAGGUAUCUAGUUUUUUAAGAAAUGAAUUUAAUUCAGAAUUGAUUAAUUAGUUAUUUUAUUUUUUUUUUAAUUUGCUAUUAAYCAAUUUUAAAAUUUUAGGGGAUAASCYCUGAAUUUUUAUUUAUAACUUUAAUAUAUUUAAAUUAUGUAGGAUUUAUAACGUUCAUCAUUAAAUAGUACGUUGUAGUUUAAUUUAAUUCGUUUAUGAUUUUUUGUUGUUUUAAUAUUUUAUUAAAAUUAAAUUUUUAAUUUUGUAAUAUUUGUAAUAAUGAUUAAAUUAGUAUAUUUUGUAUGUUUACAGUUGUUAUUUUGGGAUUAUUAAAUAAGGAACUCGGCAACUAUAAUUCUCGCCUGUUUAUCAAAAACAUGUCUUCUUGUUUAUAUGGGAAGUCUGACCUGCCCGGUGAAAUUAUUUUAACGGCCGCGGUAUUCUUGACCGUGCAAAGGUAGCAUAAUCAUUAGUCUUUUAAUAGGAGGCUGGUAUGAAGGGUUUGACGAAGUAUUAUCUGUCUCAUUUAAUUUAAUAGUAGAAUUUAAUUUUUCAGUUAAAAAGCUGAAAUAAUGUUGGAAGACGAGAAGACCCUAUAGAGUUUUAUAAUUUAAUUAUUAUUUUAUUUAAUUAUUAAUAAUUUAUUAAUUUAAUUAUUUUGUUGGGGUGACAAAAAUAUAUAUUUAACUUUUUUAUUUAUUUAUCAUUGAUUUAUGUUUAUUAGAUCCAAUCUUAUUGAUUGAUAGAUUAAGUUACCUUAGGGAUAACAGCGUAAUCUUUCUUUGGAGUUCUUAUUUACGGAAAGGCUUGCGACCUCGAUGUUGGAUUAAGAUAAUAGUUAGGUGCAGUAGCUUAAUGUAUAGGUCUGUUCGACCUUUAAAUUUCUUACAU
rnacentral:rRNA from 1 species